AGAGUUUGAUCCUGGCUCAGGAUGAACGCUAGCGGGAGGCUUAACACAUGCAAGUCGAGGGGUAACAUUGGAGCUUGCUUCAUGACGACCGGCGCACGGGUGAGUAACGCGUAUGCAACCUACCUCAAACAGGGGGAUACUCAGGGAAACCUGGAUUAAUACCCCAUAAUAUUUAGAUUUGGCAUCAGAUUUAAAUUAAAACUCCGGUGGUUUGAGAUGGGCAUGCGUGACAUUAGCUAGUUGGUAAGGUAAUGGCUUACCAAGGCUACGAUGUCUAGGGGUUCUGAGAGGAUUAUCCCCCACACUGGUACUGAGACACGGACCAGACUCCUACGGGAGGCAGCAGUGAGGAAUAUUGCACAAUGGACGAAAGUCUGAUGCAGCCAUGCCGCGUGCAGGAUGAAUGCCCUAUGGGUUGUAAACUGCUUUUAUAUAGGAAGAAACUUUUCUACGUGUAGAGAACUGACGGUACUAUAAGAAUAAGGACCGGCUAACUCCGUGCCAGCAGCCGCGGUAAUACGGAGGGUCCAAGCGUUAUCCGGAUUCAUUGGGUUUAAAGGGUCCGCAGGCGGGAAAAUAAGUCAGUGGUGAAAGCCUACAGCUCAACUGUAGAACUGCCAUUGAUACUGUUUUUCUUGAGUAUAGAUGAAGUGGGCGGAAUAUAUCAUGUAGCGGUGAAAUGCAUAGAUAUGAUAUAGAACACCGAUUGCGAAGGCAGCUCACUAAACUAUUACUGACGCUCAGGGACGAAAGCGUGGGGAGCGAACAGGAUUAGAUACCCUGGUAGUCCACGCCGUAAACGAUGAUUACUCGGUGCUAGCGAUAUACUGUUAGUGCCUAAGCGAAAGCGAUAAGUAAUCCACCUGGGGAGUACGGUCGCAAGAUUGAAACUCAAAGGAAUUGACUAAUUCGAUGAUACGCGAGGAACCUUACCUGGGCUUAAAUGUAUUUUGACAGACUGGGAAACCAGUUCUUCUUCGGACAAUUUACAAGGUGCUGCAUGGUUGUCGUCAGCUCGUGCUGUGAGGUGUCGGGUUAAGUCCCAUAACGAGCGCAACCCCUAUCCUUAGUUGCCAGCGAGUAAUGUCGGGGACUCUAGGGAAACUGCCGGUGCAAACCGUGAGGAAGGUGGGGAUGACGUCAAAUCAUCACGGCCCUUACGUCCAGGGCUACACACGUGCUACAAUGGCGGAUACAAAGGGCAGCUACAUGGUGACAUGAUGCUAAUCUCGAAAGUCCGUCUCAGUUCGGAUCGAAGUCUGCAACUCGACUUCGUGAAGCUGGAAUCGCUAGUAAUCGCGUAUCAGCAAUGACGCGGUGAAUACGUUCCCGGGCCUUGUACACACCGCCCGUCAAGCCAUGGAAGCUGGGAGUGCCUGAAGUCGGUGACCGCAAGGAGCUGCCUAAGGUAAAACUAGUAACUAGGGCUAAGUCGUAACAAGGUAGCC
rnacentral:rRNA from 1 species